UAGCAUAUCAAUAAGCGGAGGAAAAGAAACCAACAGGGAUUGCCUCAGUAACGGCGAGUGAAGCGGCAACAGCUCAAAUUUGAAAUCUGGCCCUAGGCCCGAGUUGUAAUUUGCAGAGGAUGCUUUUGGUGCGGUGCCUUCCAAGUUCCCUAGAACGGGACGCCAGAGAGGGUGAGAGCCCCGUACAGUUGGACACCAAGCCUUUGUAAAGCUCCUUCGACGAGUCGAGUAGUUUGGGAAUGCUGCUCAAAAUGGGAGGUAUAUUUCUUCUAAAGCUAAAUACCGGCCAGAGACCGAUAGCGCACAAGUAGAGUGAUCGAAAGAUGAAAAGCACUUUGAAAAGAGGGUUAAACAGCACGUGAAAUUGUUAAAAGGGAAGCGCUUGUGACCAGACUUGCGUCCGGUGAAUCACCCAGCUCUCGCGGCUGGGGCACUUCGCCGGCUCAGGCCAGCAUCAGCUCGCUGUCGGGGACAAAAGCUUCAGGAACGUAGCUCUCUUCGGGGAGUGUUAUAGCCUGUUGCAUAAUACCCUUCGGCGGGCUGAGGUACGCGCUCCGCAAGGAUGCUGGCAUAAUGGUCAUCAGCGACCCGUCUUGAAACACGGACCAAGGAGUCAACCUUAUGUGCGAGUGUUCGGGUGUCAAACCCCUACGCGUAAUGAAAGUGAACGCAGGUGAGAGCUUCGGCGCAUCAUCGACCGAUCCUGAUGUUCUCGGAUGGAUUUGAGUAAGAGCAUAUAGGGUUGGACCCGAAAGAAGGUGAACUAUGCGUGUAUAGGGUGAAGCCAGAGGAAACUCUGGUGGAGGCUCGCAGCGGUUCUGACGUGCAAAUCGAUCGUCAAAUAUGCGCAUGGGGGCGAAAGACUAAUCGAACCUUCUAGUAGCUGGUUUCCGCGA
rnacentral:rRNA from 1 species